GAUGAACGCUGGCGGCGUGCCUAAUACAUGCAAGUCGAGCGAACAGAUGAGGAGCUUGCUCCUCUGACGUUAGCGGCGGACGGGUGAGUAACACGUGGAUAACCUACCUAUAAGACUGGGAUAACUUCGGGAAACCGGAGCUAAUACCGGAUAAUAUAUUGAACCGCAUGGUUCAAUAGUGAAAGACGGUUUUGCUGUCACUUAUAGAUGGAUCCGCGCCGCAUUAGCUAGUUGGUAAGGUAACGGCUUACCAAGGCAACGAUGCGUAGCCGACCUGAGAGGGUGAUCGGCCACACUGGAACUGAGACACGGUCCAGACUCCUACGGGGGGCAGCAGUAGGGAAUCUUCCGCAAUGGGCGAAAGCCUGACGGAGCAACGCCGCGUGAGUGAUGAAGGUCUUCGGAUCGUAAAACUCUGUUAUUAGGGAAGAACAAAUGUGUAAGUAACUAUGCACGUCUUGACGGUACCUAAUCAGAAAGCCACGGCCAACUACGUG
rnacentral:rRNA from 1 species